rnacentral:rRNA from 1 species
UACGAAGGAUGCAAGCGUUAUCCGGAUUUAUUGGGUUUAAAGGGUGCGUAGGCGGACUUGUAAGUCAGUGGUGAAAUCCCGGGGCUCAACCCCGGAACUGCCAUUGAUACUAUAGGUCUUGAAUAUUGUUGAGGUGGGCGGAACGGGUCAUGUAGCGGUGAAAUGCAUAGAUAUGACCCGGAACACCGAUUGCGAAGGCAGCCCGCUAAGCAAUGAUUGACGCUGAGGCACGAAAGCGUGGGGAUCAAACAGG